ACACACACACACACACACACACACACACACACACACACACACCCUCCCGUCUAAGGGUGCGUUCGGGGAGCUCACUAUUAGCGCUACGUAGCACUACCGCUGUUCGCGGAGACGCUGGAUAGCGCUAUCAAAAUUAUGAUGACGUCACUGUCCGUAGCGUUUGACGUCAUAAACGCGCGCUAUCCAUGCUACUGCUUCAGAGGUAGUGCAUGGAUAGCGUUUGGCUCAACCAUCCCCACCAUUGUCUGUUUAAACAUCACGUGCUAUCUCUCUUUUAAGGUUAGAGAAAAUUUAUGCGUGAUCUUGAAAGAAGAAAAUAAAAAA